GUUAUAUGGUCAAGUGACGAAGCGUGCACGGUGGAUGCCUUGGCAGUCAGAGGCGACGAAAGACGUGGUAGCCUGCGAAAAGCUUCGGGGAGGUGGCAAACAACCUUUGAUCCGGAGAUGUCUGAAUGGGGAAACCCACCCAGUUUACUGGGUAUCUUUUAGCUGAAUACAUAGGCUUUAAGAGGCGAACUCGGGGAACUGAAACAUCUAAGUACCCGAAGGAAAAGAAAUCAAUUGAGAUUCCCUUAGUAGCGGCGAGCGAACGGGGAUUAGCCCUUAAGUUGGUUUGGUGUUAGCAGAAGGCGCUGGAAAGUGCCGCCGUAGUGGGUGAUAGCCCCGUAUGCGAAAACGCCUUAUCAAUGAAAACGAGUAGGACGGGACACGUGUUAUCCUGUCUGAACAUGGGGGGACCAUCCUCCAAGGCUAAAUACUCCUGACUGACCGAUAGUGAACCAGUACCGUGAGGGAAAGGCGAAAAGAACCCCUGUGAGGGGAGUGAAAUAGACCCUGAAACCGUGUACGUACAAGCAGUGGGAGCGGUUCUUGAGACCGUGACUGCGUACCUUUUGUAUAAUGGGUCAGCGACUUAAUUUCAGUAGCAAGGUUAACCGUCUAGGGGAGCCGUAGGGAAACCGAGUCUUAAUAGGGCGUUUAGUUGCUGGGAUUAGACCCGAAACCGGGCGAUCUAUCCAUGGGCAGGUUGAAGGUUGAGUAACAUCAACUGGAGGACCGAACCGACUACCGUUGAAAAGUUAGCGGAUGACCUGUGGAUCGGAGUGAAAGGCUAAUCAAGCCCGGAGAUAGCUGGUUCUCCUCGAAAGCUAUUUAGGUAGCGCCUCAUGUCUCACCACCGGGGGUAGAGCACUGUUUCGGCUAGGGGGUCAUCCCGACUUACCAACCCGAUGCAAACUCCGAAUACCGGUGAGUGCAAUCAUGGGAGACACACGGCGGGUGCUAACGUCCGUCGUGAAAAGGGCAACAACCCAGACCACCAGCUAAGGUCCCAAAGUUAUCACUAAGUGGGAAACGAUGUGGGAAGGCUCAGACAGCUAGGAGGUUGGCUUAGAAGCAGCCACCCUUUAAAGAAAGCGUAAUAGCUCACUAGUCGAGUCGGCCUGCGCGGAAGAUAUAACGGGGCUAAGUGAUACACCGAAGCUGUGGAUGCCAUUUAUGGCAUGGUAGAGGAGCGUUCUGUAAGCCGUUGAAGGGAAAGCUGUGAGGCAUCCUGGAGGUAUCAGAAGUGCGAAUGCUGACAUGAGUAACGAUAAUGGGGGUGAAAAACCUCCACGCCGGAAGACCAAGGUUUCCUAUCCAACGCUAUUCGAGGUAGGGUGAGUCGGCCCCUAAGGCGAGGCAGAAAUGCGUAGUCGAUGGGAAGCAGGUUAAUAUUCCUGCACCGGCGGUAACUGCGAUGAGGGGACGGAGAAGGCUAGGCGAGCGCAGCGUUGGUUGUCUGCGUUUAAGGAUGUAGGUUGGGGGAUUAGGCAAAUCCGGUCCCCCUUAAGACUGAGAUCUGAUGACGAGGUUCUUAGGAACUGAAGUCGUUGAUGCCACGCUUCCAGGAAAAGCCUCUAAGCUUCAGGUUACCGCUGACCGUACCCAAAACCGACACAGGUGGUCAGGUAGAGAAUACCAAGGCGCUUGAGAGAACUCGGGUGAAGGAACUAGGCAAAAUGGUGCCGUAACUUCGGGAGAAGGCACGCUCCUGAUGGUGACCCCCUUGCGGGGUGAGCUGUUGGGAGUCGAAGAUACCAGGUGGCUGCGACUGUUUAUUAAAAACACAGCACUCUGCAAACACGAAAGUGGACGUAUAGGGUGUGACGCCUGCCCGGUGCCGGAAGGUUAAUUGAUGGGGUUAGCGCAAGCGAAGCUCUUGAUCGAAGCCCCGGUAAACGGCGGCCGUAACUAUAACGGUCCUAAGGUAGCGAAAUUCCUUGUCGGGUAAGUUCCGACCUGCACGAAUGGCGUAACGAUGGCCACACUGUCUCCACCCGAGACUCAGUGAAAUUGAAAUAGCUGUUAAGAUGCAGUUUACCCGCGGCUAGACGGAAAGACCCCGUGAACCUUUACUAUAGCUUCACAGUGGACUUUGACAUUACUUGUGUAGGAUAGCUGGGAGGCUUUGAAGCGUGGACGCCAGUCUGCGUGGAGCCAAUCUUGAAAUACCAGCCUGGUACUGUUGAGGUUCUAACUCUGGACCGUAAUCCGGUUCGAGGACAUUGUGUGGUGGGUAGUUUGACUGGGGCGGUCUCCUCCCAAAGAGUAACGGAGGAGCACGAAGGUACCCUCAGCAUGGUCGGAAAUCAUGCAUUGAGCGCAAGAGUAGAAGGGUGCUUGACUGCGACACUGACACGUGGAGCAGGUACGAAAGUAGGUUCUAGUGAUCCGGUGGUUCUGCAUGGAAGGGCCAUCGCUCAACGGAUAAAAGGUACUCCGGGGAUAACAGGCUGAUACCGCCCAAGAGUUCACAUCGACGGCGGUGUUUGGCACCUCGAUGUCGGCUCAUCACAUCCUGGGGCUGAAGCCGGUCCCAAGGGUAUGGCUGUUCGCCAUUUAAAGUGGUACGCGAGCUGGGUUUAGAACGUCGUGAGACAGUUCGGUCCCUAUCUGCCGUGGGCGUUUGAGAUUUGAGAAGAGUUGCUCCUAGUACGAGAGGACCGGAGUGAACGAACCUCUGGUGUUCCGGUUGUCACGCCAGUGGCAUUGCCGGGUAGCUACGUUCGGACGGGAUAACCGCUGAAAGCAUCUAAGCGGGAAGCCCCCUUCAAGAUGAGAUCUCACUGGGGCCUUGAGCCCCCUAAAGGGCCGUUUAAGACUAAGACGUUGAUAGGCGGGGUGUGUAAGCGCUGCGAGGCGUUGAGCUAACCCGUACUAAUUGCCCGUGAGGCUUGACCAUAUAACGCCCAAGGCGUUUGG
rnacentral:rRNA from 1 species